rnacentral:tRNA from 1 species
UGGCUGAGUGGUAAAGCGCUCGGCUUCUGAACCGGGAGUGCCGGGUUCGAAUCCUGG